rnacentral:tRNA from 1 species
GCUGGUUUGGCUCAGUGGAUAGAGCACCAGCCUACAGACUGAAGUGUCCCAGGUUCGAUUCCAAUCAGCA